CUGCAUGCUUAGACAGUUGAGGCGAGUCUACUGAGAGGAAGCUAACUUCUGAUUAAAACAAACGUUAAAUAUCGGUUAAACAAACAAAUGCGGUCGCUGAUCCAAAAAAUGACACAAACUAAAAAAACUCUGGAGCGAAUUGCCUCACAACAAACGAUGCAAAGUCAGCAGUAUCAUUUCAUGAAACACCCGAGAUAGUUAGCUUGUUUUAUGGAUAUGGACAAUUUCAUCUGCACAGAGGGAGGAAGAAUGGACUUCCACAUCAAAUAAAGAGCAGCGGAGAGGGCCGGCAUCCCAGCCCUACAACUUGCAUUUGGAGCUGUGAUGUCAGCCCCACAGGAACGCUGAGCCGAGCCUGACAGCUAACCAAUCCAAUCAAAUUGAGAAGUCAGGGAGUAAAGGACCUGAUGCUGCAGCGAUUACCACCAGGGGAGAGAAGCGAUGGCAGACUUCGUCUUCCUCCUCAUCCUCCUCCAUCUCCUUCCCUCCGUCUUGGCCCUAAUCCACUUAGUUGGCUCUUCCUGAGCUUACAGCCUUUCCUUUAUUCCAUUAUAAAGACCCACUGUAUGACCUGCUGCUUAUUUCAUUAAAAAAGGCCCAAUCCAUGA